CUCUUUAGCUGUGAUGAUAUAAUUUCAUAUAUUCUUGCUGGGUUAGAUCAUGAGUAUGAUAGUCUUGUCUCUUCAAUUUAUGCUAGAACUGACACUGUUACUCUUGAAGAAGUGUAUUCCCUUUUGAUUGUGACUGAAU
rnacentral:snoRNA from 1 species